rnacentral:lncRNA from 1 species
AGAACUGUAGCCUAAUGUAUAACCAAGCUAACACACACACACACACACACACACACACACACACACACACACACACACACCACACACAUUAAAUCAAGAAAUACUCAGAGGAAAGCUCCAAGUCUUAUAGCAGAAUGGAAGGGAACAUGGAACACAGUUCAGUUUCCAGUCUGGAUCUCGUCUGGGUAGAUGAGGUCAUUUGCCAUCUGGUAGACCCUGUGAAAUGAAACCGUGAGCUAAUUCCCAUUUCUAGAGGACAGGCUCUUAUCACAGAAGGCCCACUAUCACCCAGACUGCCCUUUACUGAAAUGGCUUAUGAAAGGGCGGUGAUCAAUGGGGUCUACAGCUAAGCAGCUAUCUCUUUGCUUCAGAAGUAGCCCCCAGGGAUGGAUUUUACACAUACCAAUAACAUACUUGUCCUUGGUUCUUUCCAUUUUUAGGCACUCAGUUAUUCAGACAAAUCAAAAUUGCUUAGUGGUAAUAGUACUAUUACUAUUAACUGGUAACUAUCUGGUUGGAGUGUUUAUGCCAAGGACUAUCAGUGUUUUCCAUAGUAUUAGAACUAGAGUUCUUGGCAUUUUGGGGUCUAAUCAUAUUAAGCAGCCAACUUCCCCAAAACCAACAAAAGAACUCCAUCCUUAAUAUUCAGUUCCUCUAGAACCAUUCCUGCUACAAAAAUCUGUAUUAGUCAGCAUUCUCUAGAGAGAUAGAACUAAUAGGACAUAUACACAUAAUACUUAAUAGUUUAUUAAGUAUUAACUUACACAAUCACAGGUUCCACAAUAGGCUGUCCACAAGCUUGAGGAACAAAAAGAGCCAGUCCGAGUCUCAAAAUUGAAGAACUUGGAGUCCAGUGUUCGAGGGCAGGAAGCAUCCAGCAUGGAAGAAAGAUGUAGGCUAAGAGGCUAGGCCGGUCUUGCCAGCUUUGCUGGAAGCUGAUUAGAUUGUGCCCAUCAGAUUAAGGGUGGAUCUGCCUUCCCCAGCUCACUGACUCAAAUGUUAAUCCCUUUUGGCACACACACACCCAGGAUUAAUACUUUGUAUCCCCCAAUCCAAUCAAGUUGACACUUAGCAUUAACUAUCACACUCAUGCUAUGGUGAAUGUGGAUAUAAUUGUGUUGACCACAAGACAGAAUAUUUGCAGUCAGGUCUGUCUUAGAAACAUGAUACCUAUUAUAAAAGAGAAUUUCCGUAACCUGUAGGGUGAAGUGUCAGUACAAUUUCUGCUUUGCAAAUACUAGGAUUAUGGAAGAUUAAAUGUGUGAAAGGACUUUGAAAAAUUAAAACAUAUCAUUAAUCAACAAGUCAUUCCUUAAAACCUCUUAUUCACCUACUAUAUACUCUUUGGACAGCUGUGUAGGGUCUUAAGUAUAGAAUGACAAGGAGUGAUUAUCUCUUAAAUAAUAUUGUCAUCCGUAUCCCAGAACUUGAUCCAACGGAAGAACUCUCAUGGGAGUCAGUGAAUUUAUGAUCAAAUGAUUGGUAAAACUUUUGGGGGGAGACAACCAGCUCUUGGAAACCAGGCAUUUUUUUUUCUCUCUUUUUCUGUCAUUGUAGUCCCAGCCUUUAACAUAAUGCCUGGCAUAUAAUGAGUCUUCAAUAAGUACUUGUUGAAUGAAUGAGAAUAUCUACAUAAAGAUUUUGUGUUUCUUCUAAAAUAAGCCUACCUCAAGAGUUUCUAACCAUUUGGAGUUACUGAAAAGGAAUAGCUGCAAGUCAUAAAUAUCAAUUCCUCCUGCCACAAUUUGUAGGCCUGUAACUAAUUCAUUUCUAUCUUCUUGUACUAAUCAGAUCUCUUAAAGCAUACUCAGGAUUUCAGAGCUAGAAGGAAAACUUAAGAAUUAUCAAAAGGAAUUCCAGAGUGGUUGUGUGAUUUGCCCAAGGCCAUGGGAAAAUCAGUGGAGGAAAUAAAUGUUAUAAUUACUAUACCUUGGUAAGUGCUAAAAUAUUCUCUGUAUCUUACACAUGCUUCUGAUCACACAAUAUUGCAAUCAUUUUUCCACAUGCAAGUCUCCCUGACUAGGUUUUACCUUUUUGAGGCUAAGAACAUAACUUAUCUUGGUAUCCACAGAAUUGAAAACUGUAUCUCAGACAUAUGAAAGCUAAAUAAAUAUUUGUUGAAUGUUGGGUAGGCAAAGUUCUAUUUUAAUUGUAUGUAGUAUGAAGAAAUUUGACCAAGUCUGGCUAAUAGACUAUUAAUUAUAGGAAUGGACAGAAAUGAUAAGUAAGGGCAGAAGGGCUUCAGGUAUCUGACAUACACAUCUUUAAUUUCUGUUUCCCCUUUGAAUACAGAGCAACAUCUCCUGACCUUUCCAGAACAGCUGACCAGAUGUGGAGAUGCAAUGAUGCCCAUAUUUGAAAACAGUAUAGUACCAUGACAGGCAGGCAGGCCCAGGCUAUUUAUUUGUUGUGAGCUCUUUGGCAUGUCAUAACUUCUAGGCUUGAUCCAGUUUAUAGAAGAGAAAGUUAAACUAUAUUCAUUCAUUCCCUCAUUUAUUAAAUAAUAUUGUGUUUCUACCAUAUGCCUAGCAUUGUGUUCAGGACCCAGGAAGCAAGGAACAAUGAAUGAGAUGUGAUCCUCAACUCCAUGAAACUUAUAUCUGUUGGGAGAGGGAGAAACACACAUAAAAUUUCAGUGCAGAUUUGGAGAAGUAUUAUGGGCUGUGGAGAUUGGAUUUUAUCCUGAAAGCAUUGAGGAAGUCUUUAAAAGGUAAAUUAGAGGAAUAACUCCAUCAGAUAUGUGUGCCAGUGGAUCACCCUGGCUUCAGUGUGGCAUGGGUUAAAGUAGCCAUAGGUUGUAGGAAGAGGGACCAAUUAGCAGACUGUUGCUUGGUUUGAGUAAGUGGCACAGCCAGAGGAUGAUGAAGAGACCUCAGGUUUCUGCCUGCCUUAAGUUUCUAUGAUUGGCCACCCUCCUGUGUCUGUGCAGACAGUCUGAAUGCAGAUUCUCCAACAGAAGGUUUGUGGUUCAAGAUUGCCUCACAAUUGCUGGUAAAGAGAGCUGAGGAUGAUCCCAGAUGGCACUUCAACUUUCUCUAAUUUUGAACCUUGCUGUGCACCUGAAUACCACAUACUGACUUGAGCAAAACAGUAGUGUUAUUGUUAGGGCUGAAGCAAGCUGUUUGUCGAGACUCCAUAAUGCAUAUUGGUGACAACAGGAAUUAAACUCUCCACCUGCAGGACAGCCAGCCAGUGGGGUGUAGAAUAAGUGUGCUGGCAGAGACUUUAGUAUGUAAAAGUGCCGCAGGAAAAGGGGGCAAGCUUUAUUCUAGAAGAGUCCCAUUCAAACCAUAGCAGAUAAAGAUAUUAUAAUUAGAACCAGAACCAAGAAUAAAUACUAGAGUAAGAAAUGACACCAGUUUGCUUCUUCCCAGUAUCAGAGAGUGUCUCUUUCUGGCUAUAUGGACAUGAAAUUUUGACUGGGUUCCAGAAAGGCAAGAAAGGGUGGUUUGUCAUGGGCUUUUCAAUGCCUACGAAGGACUCAAAGUUAUUUGAGAUAUUACAUUUGAAUAUGAUUUGAUGUGCUGUUUGAUAAAAGAACAUCAAUGGGCAAAAGAAUCACUUAGUCAAAAAUAAGUUCUUCUGACUAGGACUUAUGACAACUAGGGAAGAGUAGUAACCAGGCUUUUUUCUGGAAUAAGAACUAUGGUGUCCCUCUAUGAUGAGCAAGAUCAGGUCCUCCAAGGAGUUAUACAUCGCAAUACUGACUGGUCUGACAAGUAAAAGACCAUUCUUAGUACCCCCACAGAGCAUGCUGAUGGUAUCUCAAUCUUUAGAAGGUUUAAAGGAUGGGAUGGCGCCAGACCUUACUUUAUAUCUCUUUCAGGGUUUUGUGCCAACCUAUGAACACCAAAACUCAGCACUAUUUUAUGCAAACUAUGCCUGUAGACCAUAUUUAAGAGUAUGGAAUGACUUCUCUCUGGAAAGAGUUUCCUCGCCUCAUCCCCAGUAUAACAUGUCGAAAAGAAAUAAGGAAGAAGAAAUCCAGGAUGCUAGUUUUGAAAAUGAAAUUUUGUUCCCUUCCCAAUUUUAAAUGCAGGUAUACUCAUUGUCUUCUCGAAAUGACAAAAGGAAAAAAAAAAGAGGAAAGUUACAAUUAUUCAUAAAUCUACCAAUAAAAUGUAAUUACUGUUGGUACAUGAAUGUAUUUUCAUACAAUCAACACGUGUAUACACGACAUUUAAAUGUACUUCCUUCUAGUUUUUUAUUCAUCUAUGUUGGAUAUGUGGGGUUUAUGUGUACAUUGAUUUAGCAGUGCACGUGAUCAGUGGUUUAAAGGAGGGGAUGGCUUUGCUGUUAGAUCCCAGUUAUAAAGACUUAUCUUGUUUAAUAGUUUGAAACCAAAAUCUAUUUCAAUUAGAGUUGGAAUAAUUAGGAAAUAGUCUUGAUACUUACGCUAAAUUAUCCAUUUACUAAUCCAGAAGAUAUAUUCAUCCCUCUAGUAGCUUAAAAACCCCUUUCUUUCCCUGCUGUUUACAACCCUUAGCACUUUUCAAUUGUGGCAUGCUUCCAUCUCUUUCAUCCCCCACCUAUAUGCUCAGACACAGAAUGUGUUCAGGCAAUUUUUAAGUUUUGUAAAUCAUUCCCAAUAGUCCCUUAAUCCUUCUUGCCACUUUUCUCUAAAUCCCUUUCAGUCGAUCAGUAGCUACUUGGAGGGUAUGGCCUGCGAUAACCUGACACAGGCUUCCAGGACACUGUUAGAGGUGAUCGCCAUCUUCAUGGGCAGUGGGGCAGUCCUUUGUACAUAUGCAGCCUCACGUUUGCCUUUAUUUUCCCGGCUUCUGCUCCGUGAUGCAAUUUCCUGUCCAUAAAUGGUGCAGAUCUAAUUCCCUGACCACCAUAUAGUAAAGGUUUACUUUGACAUAUUGUCCUUCCUAAAAAGAAAUUUUACUGCACAGUUAUAAUUAUCACAUUUUUCUUAAUUAGCAACCUCUUCUGAUUUCUUUUUCAUCUUCUAGUUUUAUAAAACAUUUUCUUUAUCUUAUUUUAACCCAACUUACUGAAUUCUAUGACUAUUUUCUUAGUUCCUUUUUUUUGUACUUGAUAAGAUCUCUGAGCUACUCUUUACUGCUUAGAUUUUUCAAGUAUAUGGUAUUAUAUCUUGAUUUUGGUGUAAUCUCAGAACUCCAGCUAUUCUUCCAGUCUAUGGGUAGAAUAAUUAUGUCAUUAGAGACAUUGGAGCCUGCCUCUCCCAUGACGGCCAGCUGGCAGGGGAUAUAUAUUAUAUGUCUUGGUUGAUGGCUUUCAAGUAAAAGGGUGAAUCUGCGAAGACCAGUACUCCUUGCCAACAAGCUCUUUAUAAAAUCAACUAUUUCAUUUUGCCGCCUGAGCUCUCCUUUGGCCGUUAGAUUGAACAAUCACUGGAUGUUUCCUAAAUUUGUCAUCACCCCAAACGGAGACUCUGUAAUAUUAAGUAAUAACUCCUUAUUCUCCUCUUCUACCAGUCCCUGGUAACUUCAAUUCUACUUUCUGUCUCUAUGAAUUUGGCUGUUCUAGCUAUUUCCUAUAAGUGGAAUCAUUCAAUAUUUGUCAUCUUGUGUCUGACUAAUUUUAUUUAGCAUAAUGUUUUUUAAGGUUCAUCUGUGUUGUAGCAUGUAUCAGAACUUUGUUCCUCUUUAACACUGAAUAAUAUUCCAUUGUAUGGCUAUACCGUACUUUGUUUUUCCAUUCAUUAGAUGAUGGACACUAGGGUUAUUUUCACCUUUUGCCUAUUAAAAAUAAUGCUGCGAUGAACACUGGUGUUCCCAUUCAUUUUGUAAAGUAACCCCCUCUUUUUUCUUCCUUCUCAGCCACAUGGCAGCACUUGAGUCUCCAACUCUCAUAUCCAUGGAGGCCGUGCUACUUCCAGCCGUUCCCACCUCCACACACAAAAGUAAAAUAGAAAUUUCUUUAUAAGGGAGAAAAGAAGCUAUUAAUUGCCCUAAUUGUAUUUCUUUGUUUAAAAAUUAUAUAUGUUUUUGAAAAAUAUAGAAAAAAUAAGAGAGGGGAAGUGUUCCCAUACUCCUACCACUUUGGUGUAAGUAAUGAUAUAAUUUUGGUUUAUUUCUGUCAGUUUUUUUGCAUUGCAUUCUUUUUCAGACCUAAAUGUGAGCAUGUUAUGGUUCAGAAGUCUAAGUCUGUUUUUGUUUUUGUUUUGCUGAAAUUAAAAUAGCCAUUAAGAUUUCCUUUGGUCAGUGUUUGCCUUUUAUAUCUUUUUUCAUCCUAUAAUUUUCAGUCUUUCUGUGUACUUAUAUUUCAUAUAUGUCCAAGUCUGCUCCUAAUAUUUGCAGAGCCUGAGGCAAGAGUACAAAUAGAGGCCCACAUGCAUUCUAAUUGCUUUAUUCAGUAAUUAUAUCUUCAUUUAGGAAAGAUUUUCAAAUUACAAAGGCCUCAUCUGACCGAUUCCAGUUACAAAUUAGAUCAGAAUAAUUCUCUUGCUCAUUUUUAUUAUUUUGGCUAGUAAUUAAAUCCUCAUUAAAUAUAAAAUGUGUUGUUUGAAAAUUUUUUAUGAUGAAUGCUUGACAGAGAUUUACCCACUUUCAUUAUUUCUAGUUUUUAAAAAUGUCAGUAGACUGCUUAUUUGUGUAUUUUAUUUUUUUGGCUUUUUUCCUCCUAAGAUUUUUUUUCAUAGGUUCUCUUUUAUCAUAAUCUCAAAUUCUUCUCAUUCUAUUUCCCCUCCCACCAUACACACUGUGAAGCAGUGACUAGCUCCUUCUUAGCUGCGGUAAAACCUGCAAAUCUUUACGGCAUUUGAACACAGUGACCAUUUGUUUCAAGGAUUUAGGGCAAGGAAAUGUGGAGAAGUACUUUUUCUGGAAUGUGAAUGGUAUUAGACACAACCGUGGAUGUUUAGGAUUAUAGAUCAUGCUGUGACAGAAUGACAAAGGUGUCAAUGUGGUCUUUAAUAUAAUUUGUGUGUUGGUGGUAUGAUGUGCCAUUUAAAGCAGCGCUUCUCAAACAUUAAUGGUACAUAUGCAUCACCCGGAGAAGCUUCUUAAAAUGCAGAUUCUGAAUCUUUAGAUCUCGGAUGGGGCCUAACAGUCAGCAUUUCUAACAGGUGCCUGAGUGAUGCUGUUGCUGUUGGUCCGAGAUCCAUCUCUUGAGUUGUAAGACUCUGAAGCAUAGGACCAAGAUCAGGGGUCUCUCUCAUCUGAUAUUAAGAGUAGUACUCUGUAUGUCCUAUAUGAAUACACUAUAGCUGGAAUUGAUUUUUAAUUUGAAAUUAUAAUCAUCG